AUUGAACGCUGGCGGCAUGCCUUACACAUGCAAGUCGAACGGCAGCACGGGGGCAACCCUGGUGGCGAGUGGCGAACGGGUGAGUAAUGCAUCGGAACGUGUCCUCUUGUGGGGGAUAACCAGUCGAAAGAUUGGCUAAUACCGCAUGAGAUCUCAAGAUGAAAGCGGGGGACCGCAAGGCCUCGCGCGAGAGGAGCGGCCGAUGCCGGAUUAGCUAGUUGGUGGGGUAAAAGCCCACCAAGGCGACGAUCCGUAGCUGGUCUGAGAGGACGACCAGCCACACUGGGACUGAGACACGGCCCAGACUCCUACGGGUGGCAGCCUGAGACCCAAGGCACACAGGGGAUAGG
rnacentral:rRNA from 1 species